CCUACGGGAGGCAGCAGUGGGGAAUAUUGCGCAAUGGGCGAAAGCCUGACGCAGCGACGCCGCGUGAGGGAUGAAGGUCUUCGGAGCGUAAACCUCUGUCAGCAGGGAAGAAAGGUCACGGUGCUAAGCAGCAGUGAAUUGACGGUACCGGCAAAGGAAGCACCGGCUAACUCCGUGCCAGCAGCCGCGGUAAGACGGAGGGGGCGAGCGUUAAGCGGAAUUACUGGGAGUAAAGCGCUCGUAGGCGGUAUGUCAAGUCAAGGGUGAAAUCCCCGCGCUCAACGUGGGAACUGCCUUUGAAACUGGCAAUCUGGCGUGUGUGCGAGGAUAGUGGAAUUCCUGGUGU
rnacentral:rRNA from 1 species